UCCGUAGGUGAACCUGCGGAAGGAUCAUUAAUUAUGUUAAAGCGCCUUACCUUAGGGUUUCCUCUGGGGUAAGUGAUUGCUUCUACACUGUGAAAAUUUGGCUGAGAGACUCAGACUGGUCAUGGGUAGACCUAUCUGGGGUUUGAUCGAUGCCACUCCUGGUUUCAGGAGCACCCUUCAUAAUAAACCUAGAAAUUCAGUAUUAUAAAGUUUAAUAAAAAACAACUUUUAACAAUGGAUCUCUUGGUUCUCGCAUCGAUGAAGAACGUAGCAAAGUGCGAUAACUAGUGUGAAUUGCAUAUUCAGUGAAUCAUCGAGUCUUUGAACGCAGCUUGCACUCUAUGGUUUUUCUAUAGAGUACGCCUGCUUCAGUAUCAUCACAAACCCACACAUAACAUUUGUUUAUGUGGUGAUGGGUCGCAUCGCUGUUUUAUUACAGUGAGCACCUAAAAUGUGUGUGAUUUUCUGUCUGGCUUGCUAGGCAGGAAUAUUACGCUGGUCUCAGGAUCUUUUUUUUUGGUUCGCCCAGGAAGUAAAGUACAAGAGUAUAAUCCAGCAACUUUCAAACUAUGAUCUGAAGUCAGGUGGGAUUACCCGCUGAACUUAAGCAUAUCAAUAAGCGGAGGA
rnacentral:rRNA from 1 species